rnacentral:rRNA from 1 species
UGGGGAAUUUUGGACAAUGGGCGAAAGCCUGAUCCAGCCAUGCCGCGUGAGUGAAGAAGGCCUUCGGGUUGUAAAGCUCUUUUAGUCGGAAAGAAAGAGUUGCAAUGAAUAAUUGUGAUUUAUGACGGUACCGACAGAAAAAGCACCGGCUAACUACGUGCCAGCAGCCGCGGUAAUACGUAGGGUGCGAGCGUUAAUCGGAAUUACUGGGCGUAAAGGGUGCGCAGGCGGUCUUGCAAGUCAGAUGUGAAGGCCCCGGGCUUAACCUGGGAAUUGCGUUUGAAACUACAAGGCUAGAGUGCAGCAGAGGGGAGUGGAAUUCCAUGUGUAGCAGUGAAAUGCGUAGAGAUGUGGAAGAACACCGAUGGCGAAGGCAGCUCCCUGGGUUGACACUGACGCUCAUGCACGAAAGCGUGGGGAGCAAACA